rnacentral:misc_RNA from 1 species
GAACGCACCUUGCGCCCUUUGGCCAUUCCGAAGGGCAUGCCUGUUUGAGUAUCAUGAACACCUCAACUCUCAUGGUUCGCCGUGAUGAGCUUGGACUUUGGGGGUCUUGCCGGCAUACCGUCGGCUCCUCUCAAAUGAAUCAGCUUUCCAGUGUUUGGUGGCGUCACGGGUGUGAUAAAUAUCUACGCUCGUGGUCUCCCACCAGGUAACCUUCAGCAAUGGAGGUUCGCUGGAGCUCACAAAUGUCUCUCCUCAGCGAAGACAGCUUUUUGAACGUUUGAUCUCAAAUCAGGUAGGACUACCCGCUGAACUUAAG